GGUAAACGAUGGGGAUGCGUUCCAUUAGGUAGUAGGCGGGGUAACGGCCCACCUAGCCUGCGAUGGAUAGGGGUUCUGAGAGGAAGAUCCCCCACAUUGGAACUGAGACACGGUCCAAACUCCUACGGGAGGCAGCAGUGAGGAAUAUUGGUCAAUGGGCGAGAGCCUGAACCAGCCAAGUAGCGUGAAGGAUGAAGGUCCUACGGAUUGUAAACUUCUUUUAUACGGGAAUAAAGUAUCCUACGUGUAGGAUUUUGUAUGUACCGUACGAAUAAGCAUCGGCUAACUCCGUGCCAGCAGCCGCGGUAAUACGGAGGAUGCGAGCGUUAUCCGGAUUUAUUGGGUUUAAAGGGAGCGCAGACGGGAGAUUAAGUCAGUUGUGAAAGUUUGCGGCUCAACCGUAAAAUUGCAGUUGAUACUGGUUUCCUUGAGUGCAGUUGAGGCAGGCGGAAUUCGUGGUGUAGCGGUGAAAUGCUUAGAUAUCACGAAGAACCCCGAUUGCGAAGGCAGCUUGCUAAACUGUAACUGACGUUCAUGCUAGAAAGUGUGGGUAUCAAACAGGAUUAGAUACCCUGGUAGUCCACACGGUAAACGAUGGAUACUGGCUGUUGGCGAUAUACUGUCAGCGGCCAAGCGAAAGCAUUAAGUAUCCCACCUGGGGAGUACGCCGGCAACGGUGCAACUCAAAUGAAUUGACGGA
rnacentral:rRNA from 1 species